AAGAGUCACGCAUAGGUGCUGAUCCUGCUGCUUCUCUGGCCCUCGUUACUUUGCCGUGCACGCUCCUGUGUCGCCCUUCUCGUUUCCUUCAGCCAGUGCAUUAUUCCGUGGAGGCAACAUCGCAGCAGCACUCCUUAUCUCUCUCUCUCACCGUUCCCAUUCUCUCCAGCCGCCCUCGUGCGCUCUCUCCUCUUCGUUGCGGGCUAGCGUGACGGUGGCGCUCAUGUCUGGCAUCAUUCAUAAAGAGAGCCUACCUGGGCAGAGUGUCAUCAAGCGGCGUCGCAUCGACACCCAAGCAACGACGGAGCCCCGCAAAGAAGGCGAGCGCGGAGACGGCAAUGAGAAGCACGUUGGCGAUGUCUUGAAGGGUGUGGCAGGCGAGAAGGACGCCAUCAGCAGCACUGUGGCCCUGUCUGGCCUACGCAGCUCUGCAGCCAAGUCGCCUGCGAAGGCUGCUCUAGCGCGCAGCAGCAGCAGCAGCAGCAGUGAUGACGAAGACGACGAUGAUCAGAUCGAGCGUGAAAACGCACGCCUGGCGAAACUGCGCGAGCAGCGCAGUCGUCGCCAACAGGAGCAGCAAAGCACCGGUGUAGCUUCCUCAGCUUCUUCCGCGCAGCCGUCGGCCAAUAUGCCAGGUGGUGUCGACGCCACGUCCUCUCCCUCUGCUUCGAAGGCGCAGGAAGGCGCAGUGCACACCAAUAGCUACGACCACGACGUGCUCUUCCGAAACCGAGCGUGGUGCCAUCCGUCCAAGGCGACCACGGCAGCGGAAAAGCGGCAGAAAAAGUGGGACUCCGUGCUAAACCGCACUCAGGACUCGGUGGCCUUUGGGCACUUUAUGAAGAACUUCUUCAAAUGAGCGCCCGUGGCGGUGGCUGUCGUGUUGGUCUUCGAUGCUCCUCGUACACGCCCGUGUCGUUUUUUUUUUUCGGUGGAGUGAAGCAGUCGUUGUCUUGGCCUGCCACCGGCUCCUUUUUGCAUAUGGGUCCAAAGGUCGUGGUGGUGAUGACAUCAACGCUGUGGUGCAGGUGUAGUGGGCCGUCGUCGACGUCUUGUUCCUUUUAGCAUCCCGUCGAGCAAUCAAAACGCGCCAGUGGCGUGCGCGAUGUACCCUUCUCGCGGGGUCGAAAGACGAAAAGAGAAGCAGAAAGCCAUGUCACUGUGAACGAAGGAAAGACGAUGAUGCCUUUCACGUGUGCCUGAUGGACGACAAACACAUACGCAGCAAGUGCGGCCUCACUCCCUGCCUGCCCCACACCCUCCUCCUCUGUCGUUGUUGCUGCUGUCUUUGAUUUGCGCUUCACUUGCAGCUACUGCGAUUUAUAUGAAGCAGUGCAGCUGGGGACCGAGCUAGUGGGAGGAUAACCCGACCAGCUACGACACAGAGAAGCAUGUUUGGCUGCUGCUACGGACUCGGUGACCUGUCUCAGCCGCCAAGCCUGCAUCCCCUGCUACCUGCACGGCAGGCGGCACCGCUUUGGAUCAAGCCUUGUGACCCACCCGAGUCUCCAUCUGGCGCUGGUCGCGCAGCACGCAUGCGGAGAAGGGACGAGGAAGGGAUGAGAAGAGCCCGUUCGGCGCAUGACCCCGAGAUGCAACGGCAGGGCGGCUCAUCCGAGACGACGACGGAUGUAGCUGCAGUGCGGCAGAGGUGGAUGAGCUGUGGUCGUGCAUGCGUAUACGUUUGCCGGCGUGACCUCGUGGUGGGGCAGUCCAUGGCACGUAUUCAAUAAAAAAAAAAUCAGUUUAUGCUUUCUGAAAUCCCGGGCGUCAUCCUUCUCAAAGCAUGACGAGCGUGUGAGAGGUGCACACCAACGUCUGUUACACACGCCUG
rnacentral:misc_RNA from 1 species